ensembl:lncRNA
GUUAAAGGUAACAGGGAGAGCUUUCAUUCAAAACAUGCUACAUAUCCCACAUAUGCUGGUGUAGCUCCCAGCACUGGUAGUGGUAAAUGAUGUAUAAAAGGAGUGAAUGCUGAGAUGUAACCACACAUAAAGAAAAGGAAUUCCCUGAUGGUGGGGCACAGCUGCUUUUACAAAGAAAGCAGGUGGCUCAGAUGGAUUCAGGGCAGAUAAGUACUGCUCAGCAGAGGGCAUAAUCUCCCAUUACUGCGUGAUGUAUGCACUGAGAGUAGAAAAAGAUGGAAUAACCACUAGAGAGAAGAGCCAGUGACACGACAUAAUAGAAUCUUAGUGAAAAGAUGUAUUCAUCAAAUCUGAAAUGUUUUGAAGAAGGAUAUCAACAUCUAUUGUCAUCAGCUUACUGAACACCAGAGUCCAUAUUUCCUCUCCAUAGAGACCUCCUCCAUCAGUUACUGAAUAUUAGACUAAGGAUCCUUUCAAUCAUAGUCUGCAGUUUGAAUAUAGGUUGUAUUAGUGUUUCAUUUUGGUUGAUUUAAUUUCUGUCUUCUUCUGUCCUUUAAAAUAUCACUGUAUGACCAUUUUCAAAGUUUGUAAAACACACAAAUAGUGAAAAGAACUCACAGGGAAAAAGAAGCUGAAAACAUUAGAGGACAUAGAGAAGAUACUUUGUAGGGCAUUUUAUGAGGGCACUUUAGCAACCUUGAUCAGUGAUCAAGAAAGGAAGAAGAAACAAACAGGAAUGUAGUUAUGGCAGAAACCAGAUAAAAACAUAACUAAAAAGAUUUAUUAAAUCUAAGGUAAUAAUAAAAUUGAUAGAGUCUUGGAUGAAAGUUUGGUUAGACCAUCUUAGAAGAAAUUAAUAAUGUUGGAUUAAGAAAAAUAUCUUUAUACUAGUAAGUCAAAACCAACAGAGUUAAGAACUAAUAUUGAUAAAGCCUGAAGUGAAUUAUCUUACAAGACAGUAAUAUGUAGUAGCAUCAACAGUUAUAGGAAAGAAAAUAACACUUUCCACUGCCUUGUGCCCUGGAAAGAAAAUCAGUGCCAGUGAAUUGCAACAGAGACUUUUUCCUUCCCCUCUUCUCU